AAGUAUCCCUUUGGGAUACAGGGCCCUUUGGGAGUUCUUUCCAAGGGGCAAGCUGGGACUUGUCUUCCUCAGGUGACCUGUGCUGCUGUGCCUACUAUAUCUAGUAGGUGAAGCAUCUUCAUUGAGACCAAUCUUCUUGCUUAAGCAACCCUUGAUAACUUGUGAGCUAUUUCAUUUGCUUCACGACUCAAAAGGUCCAGCUUCACACUGGGUUAUACAUGUAAGCUGCCUAUUAUCCUAAUGGAGUGUUUUCUGGUGCAAUCUUUGGCAUUAUUGACCCAAGGAAGAGUUAUCCUGGUUGUGUUCAUGAAAAUAUGGUGGACAUUGGUCCCAAACACAGUACCUGUUGGAAGAGGACUGGAUUAUUCUUGGCCUCUCCCCACAACUCAGGAAAAUUGUAGGCAUCUGGCUUUGUCAGUCACCAAAACUGAUGAGAAGAUAACUACUAACUCUCCACUUAGAAGGAGAGUGGUGCUCUCUCACCCAGAUUCUUUGCUCUAGAUGGCAAGGAAUCCAAGGAAAUUUGAGCUUCUGAUCACACUGCCUGCUGUUUUGAACAGAAGAACAACAGCAAGGUUGAUAUUAAUAGUUCCUGGAGUAUUGUCGAACUUGGAAAGCAGGGUGUAGAGUUUUAAGAAGGGAAACGGAAAAGCAGAAUUGGAGGGAUUGAUAGCAUACAAGUUAAGGUGGGUGGAGGAGGAUGUCUCAGAAUUUGGGUGAAGGCUGGAGAAUAAGGAAGGCAUCCCCCAUCAACUGUGCCAGGAGGGGAUGGCAUAUGAUGCUCAGAGGGAGGAGGACUAGCCAUCCUUACUCACCUUCUGCUUCUGUGUCUUGGGUCUGGCUAGUGGGAAGUAUGGCUUAACUCCUACCACUUUCAGACUGAUGCUGCAUCAGGCAGGUCUGGAGACUGUGCUCACCCACAGCCCCUUCUCAAGUCAUCUUUUCUGCACAGCCCUGACUACCAGGCAAUGGGCCACAUAAUCCCACUAAUUUGCCCCUUGGUGUGAUGAUUAGAUUAAAUUGCAGGAUCGUGGAGGGGGCUACUCAUCAAUGUGUUGGGUUGAGCCAAUCAGAGCCUUUUCUAAGAAUUUGAAUUAAGAUUUACAGAAAUGUUCUGGCUGGUGCAUUCGUGUGACUCUUUGCGACCCCAUGGACUGUAGCCCCCCAGGCUCCUCUGUACAUGGGCAUUCUCCAGGCAAGAAUACUGGAGUGGGUUGCCAUGUUCUUCUCCAGGGGAUCUUCCCAAUUCAGGGAUCGAAACUGCGUCUCUUAGGUCUCCUGCAUUGGCAGCAACUUCUUUACCACUUGUAUCACCUGGGAAGCCCCUUCGGUUGGUGGUGGGCCCUAAAUCUGAGAGGUACUGGACCAGAGCUGGGGUCAGCAGUCGUCUUGUGAGAUAAGCACGCAGACGAAAUGGGUUGAGGAGGAGUCAUGGAGUGAGUGUGUAGCGAUGCCUCUGGUGCUCCAAUCCCUGGUUCCAGUUGCCAUGAAGCCUGGAAACGCUUUUGUUUCCUGCCCUUGGAUUGCCUGAAAUCCCUUUCCUCAUAAGCUGACUGGAGAGAGCUUCCCUUUCUUGCAACCAAAAGACCAUUGACUAGAACAGAUGUUAAGAGCACGAUCCAUGCGGUAGCUACAGAGCGCAGAAUUCAGCCGGAUGAACCAUUUAGCAGGCCAGGGAGACUCUACAGUCGACUGUGUGUGUGUUUCGGGGGAGGGGUGUUAAAUCACUAGAGAUGAAAGGACCCUCCCCCUCCCCAUAACCCUGUUCUCUUUCCCAUCUUAGUUCCUUGGCUGCUCUCCAUCUCCUGGCCCCAGCUGCCGAGAGCUAUUUCUAGACGAAGUCAGGAAAUUGUUUUUGUCUCUAGGACUCUGAGCCCAGAAUCCCCUGCUCAGGAAUAUUCUCUUUGCCCUCCACUCUCUGCUUGCCUCCUUUCUCCACCUCUCUGUACCACCCCCACACCUUCCUACUCUCGGGGAAACCAAAGUGGACUAUUGAACCCCAGCAGCAGUCUCUCUCUCUCUGGGGGAGGUUGGAGGGGCAGGGAACAGCUUUCUGCAAGGCGUUCCAUAACCUUCUCUACCAGGAAGACCUCAAUUCCAAGCCCUGUUCUCUGUCCUGCAUUUUGGGCAGAACUCUUCAUAGCUCCAGGGUCUUUGGACAAAUUCAGGUUUCUCAGGGUGAGGUCCAGCCUCCCGGAGGAAGCGUACCAGCGGGCCGACUCGAUGAAGAACCUGGGGGCAGGAGUGAGCGGACGUGUUGGCGUGGCUGCAGUUCCAGUCAUGUGGGCUGGAGGCUGCCACCUGCCGGAGUGUCUUCAGGGCCUUGGGGGAUCUUCCAGACAGGACCAUCCAGCGGAUGGACUCUGGUUGCCACCUGAGGGCCAGAAGCAAGUCACAGUGUCUCCCUGCCCCCAACUUCCCAACGCCAGAAGUUCUUUUGAGAGGCUGGAAAGAGAUCAUGCGCCAGAGUCAAGGGCAAGGAGGCCCAGAAACCCAAGCUGCCUUACUACAGACUUCAUGGAAUUUAAACUUGACCAACAUGCGGGAUCUUAGUUCCCUGAAAGGAAUCAAACCCGUGCCCCUGCAAUGGAAGCACAGUCUUAUCCACUGGAUCACUAGGGAAAUCCCUUAAUAGUUCUUGAAUCUGGAUUCUUCUAUUUCCACUACUGCUAUCUCUCAGAGCAGACACCAUCCUCUUAUACUUGGAUUAAGAAUAACAGCCAAUACUCAAUAGAAACAAAAGUAAUGGGACCUAAUGAAAUUUACAAGCUUUUGCACAGCAAAGGAAACCAUAAACAAAAUGCAAAGAUAGCUUAUGGAGUGGAAGAAAAUAUUUGCAAACGAUGAGACUGACAAGCACUUCAUUUCCAAAAUAUGUGACCAACUCAUACAACUCAAUAACACAAGACAAACAACCCAAUCGAAAAAUGGGCAGAAGAUCCAAAGAAGACAUACAGUUGACCAACAGGCACAUGAAAAGAUGCUCCAACAUUGCUAAUUAUUAGAGAAAUGCAAACCAAAACGGCAAUGAGGUAUCAUCUCACAUCAGCCAAAAUGGCCAUCAUUAAAAGGUUGACAAUAACAAAUGCUGGAGAGGGUGUGGAGAAAAGCGAAACCUCCUACAUCAUUGGUGGGAAAUUAAAUUGGUGCAGUCACUAUGGAAAACAGUAUGAGGAUUCCUCAAAAAGCUAAAAAUAGAGAUGUCACAUGAUCCAACAAUCCCAUUCCUGGGCAUUUAUCUGGACAAAACUAUAAUUCAAAAAGAUGCAUGUACCCCUUCAUAGCAGCACUAUUCACAAUAGCCAAAACACAGAAACAACCGAAAUGUCCUUUGAUGGAUGGACAAAGAAGAUACAGUAUACAUAUACAAGGAAUACUACUCAGCCAAGUGAAAAAAUCUGAAAGAGAAAGACAAAUACCAUGUGCUAUCACUUAUAUGUGGAAUCUAAAACAUGAUACAGAUGAAGCUGUCUACGAAACAGAAGCAGACUCAUAACCAUAGAGAACUUGCGGUUGUGGAAGGAGGUGGGGAAGAGAUGGAUGGGGAGUUUGCAAUUAUCAGACGCAAAUUAUUAUAUAAAGAAUGGAUAAACAACAAGGUCCUACUGUGUAGCACUGUAUAGUCAAUAUCCUGGGAUAAACCACAUAGGAAAAUAUGAAAAGGAAUGUACACAUGGAGAGCUGAGUAAUUUUGCUCCACAUCUAACACACAGCUGUGUGUGCUAAGUCGCUUCUGUCG